AAGCGUUCAAUAGCUCCAUUUGCAGCAGGAUGAUACACUGAUGUGCGAAUAUGCUUAGUGUCUCUCUUUUUCAGGAACGCAGCAAACUCUGGGGAAGUGAACUGAGGCCCAUUAUCACUGACCAGAGUGGUCGGGUUGCCGUGCCUACUGAAGACAGAGAUGGAGCAGAUGCCAAGCCGUAAGGUACCCUGCAGAACCUGAAGAGGCCUUCGUGUGUAAUAAAUGCAGUGAGGUCCCGGCUGUCUUCAUGAAGAGGUACCUGAUGAUCCACACACAUGCGGAUCCCCCCUGUUUUCUUUUGGACCACAACAAUCGGAGAAACCCAUGGAGAAGAGUCAAUCUUUUCAAUCACACCUGCAUGCAAAAGUCGUUCCAGUUCCGUAGAAACAGCAUCUCUCACAGAGAAAGGUAAGCGACGCAGUUUAUGUCUGA